UUGGAGGGCAAGUCUGGUGCCAGCAGCCGCGGUAAUUCCAGCUCCAAUAGCGUAUAUUAAAGUUGUUGCAGUUAAAAAGCUCGUAGUUGAAUUUCGGGAUCAAUAUAUCGGUCGUGCCUUCGGUAUGUACUGGUAUUAUUGGUUUCUCCUUUCUGACAAACUAUGAUGUCAUUAAUUUGGUGUCAUGGGGAAUCAGGACUGUUACUUUGAAAAAAUUAGAGUGUUUAAAGCAGGCACACGCUUGAAUACAUUAGCAUGGAAUAAUGAAAUAGGACGUUUGACCCUAUUUUGUUGGUUUCUAGGAUCGACGUAAUGAUUAAUAGGGAUAGUUGGGGGCAUUAGUAUUCAAUUGUCAGAGGUGAAAUUCUUGGAUUUAUUGAGGACUAACUACUGCGAAAGCAUUUGCCAAGGAUGUUUUCAUUAAUCAAGAACGAAAGUUAGGGGAUCGAAGACGAUCAGAUACCGUCGUAGUCUUAACCAUAAACUAUGCCGACUAGGGAUCGGAUGAUGUUAAUUUUUUAAUGACUCAUUCGGCGCCUUACGGGAAAC
rnacentral:rRNA from 1 species